GCGAAAUUCAGAUAUAUGAUCAUAUUUC
rnacentral:sRNA from 1 species